UAGGCGUAAAUGAUGCGAGUUAAGUGUGGGGGCAUCUACGAGAUGGCCCUGUGCUGUAGGGUAGCCGUUAAACUCGCUGCCUGGGAAGUACGGCCGCAAGGCUGAAACUUAAAGGAAUUGGCGGGGGAGCACAACAACGGGUGGAGCCUGCGGUUUAAUUGGACUCAACGCCGGACAACUCACCGGGAACGACAGCAAUAUGUAGGCCAGGCUGAAGACCUUGCCUGAAUCGCUGAGAGGAGGUGCAUGGCGUAGACGUCU
rnacentral:rRNA from 1 species